UACGUAGGUGACAAGCGUUGUCCGAAUUUACUGGGCGUAAAGAGCGCGCAGGCGGUCGUUCAAGUCGAGUGUGAAAGCCCCCGGCUCAACUGGGGAGGGUCACGCGAUACUGAUCGACUCGAAGGCAGGAGAGGGUAGUGGAAUUCCCGGUGUAGUGGUGAAAUGCGUAGAUAUCGGGAGGAACACCAGUGGCGAAGGCGACUACCUGGCCUGUUCUUGACGCUGAGGCGCGAAAGCUAGGGGAGCAAACGGG
rnacentral:rRNA from 1 species